GCCGGGCCUGGGGCCUGGGCCUGGGCCUGGGCCCGGGCCCGCGCGCGCCGGGAGCAGCAGCCCCGCUUCGAGGCGGCCUCGAGCCGCUGGGAGGCUUCAGGGAAUAACAUUCAUGGUGUUGAAGACUGAGGAGGACACUAAGCAAGACCAUACUGCCACAAGAAGAGAGAAGUGGAGAGAGCCAGGAAUGGCUCCAGGAAGGGCAAGAAACCCACUGCAGAAAUUGAAUGCAAGACCACAGGAUUUAGAUAUCUGACUUUUUUUAGUUUGAACUAAAAGACUAGGUCCCUCAGACUUAUAAAUUUAUUUCCAAAUCCAGCCAGUAUAAAGGGAUAAGAACAGUGGUUUAAUAUGGGUUACAGAAGGCUAUGAAGAAGAAUAAAGCUCCAUGUAUUUUUGUUAAAUAUGUGUUGUAAUGUACCUUGGAUAUUUGUGUGAUACAAUUGUUUCUUGCACAAUUGAUUCAGAGCACUGAACCCCUCUUUGUGAAAUUGCAUGGCUUAACAGCCAGGGUAUCACUUCUUUGGCUUUUAAACAAAAAGACCAGGCACCAGCACGUUCAUCACACAUGCAUACACAAACACACACACACACACACAGAAGCAUGAUGCAUUACAAACAUUCAAUUCAAAACAAAAAACCAGUGCAAUGAAGGGACUCAUUCCUCUCUCUUUUUUUGUUUUCUUGUCAUUGUACAAUCAACAGCAUUUCAUAAAGAAGUUUGAAUUUGCAGAUGUGGGAAUUCUGGGGAUUUCAUAACUAAUGUCAAUACAUUUACAGAUUCUCCUCUGAGUAGUUGGGAAGAGUAUUUGGGGAGGCAUACACCAAAGAGAGAUGGAGUGCUUCACACAGCUGCCAAGUUUUGUUCAGUUACAUGUUCGACAGUUUAUGCAAAUUGAAUAAGCUACUUUGCAUAUUUGCAAGUAAUCAUGAACUUGAGCUUUAAAAAACUGUGUGAGAUUUAGUAGUGGUGAAAGACAAGUUUCCCAUAAACACUCCCACCCAUCAUGCUCCUAUUCUGACCUGAUAGGGAACUUCUUUUCAGGGAUAAAAGAAGUAUUAUAGGGUAUAAACAUAUGUAGCCAAAUGAAGUGGAUCAGCUGUGUCAGGAUGUCCUAGUACAGCUAAUGUGCUUCAUUGGGCAAAAUAGAUGUUGCCCAUUGUCCCCAUCUCAUGUGGGGGCAACCAAAUAUCUUUUAGACCGAAAUAAAUUUCAGAUGUUUCUGGAUUGGCCUGGAUUCAAAAUAUAGGCCAAAAGCUCUGUAGCCCGUCAUCACUGUUAAAAAUCACUGAUUAUAAACUGCUAAGGCGGUGGAAGAGUGCAUAUGUAUUUGGGGAAAAUCUUGUAUUAAUUUUAGUGGAAUAAAUGGGCCUGGGCCCAAAGAGUCAAAGUUGCUAACUUGACUUUUUUGCUGUAUAACAUUUAAGAGUUGAACAAAACAAAGGGCUGCUAGUAGAGAGAUUUCAACCUGCUCAGUACUGUGACAAGCAGAAAUAAUUAAAAUUUGUUUUAAAACUUUUUUUUUAAAGGCAUUGAAAAAGAAGGUAAACCAUUUGAAAUGUAAAGUGUUAGGUAAAGGUUUCAGUUUAAUAAUGUUUCUUUUUCUCUAU